rnacentral:piRNA from 1 species
UCCACAAUAGUUUGGUAACUGUAUAUGGGA